GACGAACGCUGGCGGCGUGCUUAACACAUGCAAGUCGAACGGAAAGGCCCUGCUUUUGUGGGUUUCUCGAUUGGCGCACGCGUGAGUAACACAUGUGUAACCUCCCCUUGUCUUUGUGAUAACUUCUCGAAACUGCGGCUCUUACCGGAUAUGAUCUCCUGCUGCAUGGUGUGGGUUGGAAAGUUUCGGCGGUUGUGGAUGUUCUCGCUGCUUAUCAGCUUGUUGGUGGGGUAGUGGCUUACCAAGGCUUUGACGGGUAGCCGGCCUGAGAGGGUGACCGGCCACACAGGGACUGAGAUAAGGCACAGACUCGUAAGGGAGGCAGCAGUGGGGAAUAUUGAACAAGGGGCGGAAGCCUGAUGAAGAAACGCCGCGUGCGGGAUGACGGCCUUCGGGUUGUAAACCGAUUGCGCCUGUGACGAAGCGUGAGUGAAGGUAAUGGGUAAAGAAGCACAGGCUAACUAAGUG
rnacentral:rRNA from 1 species